rnacentral:rRNA from 1 species
AUUGAACGCUGGCGGCAUGCCUUACACAUGCAAGUCGAACGGUAACAGGUCUUCGGAUGCUGACGAGUGGCGAACGGGUGAGUAAUACAUCGGAACGUGCCUAGUAGUGGGGGAUAACUACUCGAAAGAGUGGCUAAUAUCGCAUGAGAUCUACGGAUGAAAGCAGGGGAUCGCAAGACCUUGUGCUACUAGAGCGGCCGAUGGCAGUUUAGGUAGUUGGUGGGAUAAAAGCUUACCAAGCCGACGAUCUGUAGCUGGUCUGAGAGGGCGAUCAGCCACACUGGGACUGAGACACGGCCCAGACUCCUACGGGAGGCAGCAGUGGGGAAUUUUGGACAAUGGGCGAAAGCCUGAUCCAGCAAUGCCGCGUGAAGGAUGAAGGCCUUCGGGUUGUAAACUGCUUUUGUACGGAACGAAAAGCCCCGGGUUAAUACCCUGGGGUCAUGACGGUACCGUAAGAAUAAGCACCGGCUAACUACGUGCCAGCCGCCGCCGUAA